ACCAAGAGAGAGAUGGACUAUGCAGAUCCCCAAAUUUAAUUGGCCCUGGAAUUCUUUCUUUGUGGGACCCUUUUGGGUGGAACCCACCUUAGAUACCUCUGAACUACAUUUUGUCGUCCAGGGCACUCUCUGGGGACUUCUGUGUCCUUCCCAGUGUGAAGUGCAGGAGUGAGCAGUCAAAAGGCCCUUAUGUUUUUACUGAAUUGAAACACCUAGAAUGUGUGAAGAUACCAGGAAGGAGGCCAGAGCUUCAGGAAACCGCUGCAAAGAUGAUCUCACAAAGAAACCAUUGUGGCAGGGCUCCUGGAGCACUCAAGUUGAUGUGACGUGUCCUACUCCUGAGAGCACGCAACCCUGCUGGCUCCUUGGGCUUGCAUGGCUCAGGGAAAGGAAAAUAGCCCGGGUGUUUGGAAGAGAAGUAUGUGUGGAUGGAAUUAUUCAAAUGCUGAUGGAUGGAUUGGGUCUCCUCUCCUGCUGGCCCGGCAGCCUCUCCGUGGAAGGCUUUGCCCAGGAGAUGGGUCACAACAGCUCUGGUGAGAUGCUGGAAACAUAAGCCCAGGCAGAUAGAAUGGCAGUGAGUCACAGUAAACCGACAACCGUCAGGUGCUCAGGAGGGAAGCUGAAGCCAGGGGACUCGCUGUGCUGAGCUAAGCGAGGAGCAGGACUCUCCUGUUGUGCAAAACACAAAGAGCAGAGUGUUCAAGUCCAAGGAUCAGGUUCCUCCAAAUGGAAGCCCAAGCUGUGCACGCUGAGCUCCAGGGCUGGCGAUACAAUCACCUGCCUCUGCCCAUGCAGGAAGGUACCACCCAAACAUACCCAUUUCUCCCGGGGCAUGGGCAGGGGCCAGGGGAGACAGGGCCCUACCACUUCCCAUGUAAAACUGGGUGAGCAGCCCAGCGCCCGUCAGAGCCGAAGCACCUCACCUGCACCCCCGCCCCCGCCCCCGCCCCCGCCCCGCCCCGCCCAGCCUUGUAAUCUGGGCUCUGCUCGCCAUGUGCUCUGUGCUAGUGAAACUGCCCUCAGAGCAGAAAUAAACUGUUGGCUCUCAAGUUUUUCCAGACUAACCGGACUGGCCAAUGCCUGAGGCUCUGUGUUCAAGAUAAAAGUGCCUAAGAAAGAAAAGUGCAGGUAGGCAGUCCCCACUUCUGCAGGGCUGGUGGGCUCUGGGGAUCCUGUCUCAGCCUGCUGAACAGCCCAGAGUGGCUUUA
rnacentral:lncRNA from 1 species